GGGGGACACUAAAAUGAUAACAGAGCUCUGAAGCUUGCAAGACUUCUCUGGGAAUAUUGAUGAUUUCCCCCCAGCUGCAGGACAUGAAGUAACGAGACGGAGUGGUUUGAACCAGCUCAUAGACACUUUCCCAUGAACUCAUAAUGUGUAACAUUAUAACCAAUGAGUAUUCAAAGCAUUGUUUGAAUGAAAAAAAA